GCUCAGUAACACGUGGAUAACCUGCCCUAGGGAAGGGGAUAACCCCGGGAAACUGGGGAUAAUACCCUAUAGGUUACAGAUGCUGGAAUGCUCUGUAACCCAAAGUUCCGGCGCCCUAGGAUGGAUCUGCGGCCGAUUAGGUUGUUGUUGGGGUAAUGGCCCAACAAGCCAGUAAUCGGUACGGGUUGUGGGAGCAAGAGCCCGGAGUUGGAUUCUGAGACACGAAUCCAGGCCCUACGGGGCGCAGCAGGCGCGAAAACUUUACAAUGCGGGCAACCGUGAUAAGGGAACCUCGAGUGCCUGUAAAUGCAGGMUGUUUAGGUGUUUAAAACGCACCUGGAGAAAGGGCCGGGCAAGACCGGUGCCAGCCGCCGCGGUAAUACCGGCGGCUCGAGUGGUGGCCACUUUUAUUGGGCUUAAAGCGUUCGUAGCUGGGUUGUUAAGUCUCUUGGGAAAUCUGACGGCUUAACCGUCAGGCGUCUAAGGGAUACUGGCAAUCUUGGAACCGGGAGAGGUGAGGGGUACUUCGGGGGUAGGAGUGAAAUCCUGUAAUCCUCGAGGGACCACCUGUGGCGAAGGCGCCUCACCAGAACGGCUUCGACAGUGAGGGACGAAAGCUGGGGGAGCAAACCGGAUUAGAUACCCGGGUAGUCCCAGCCGUAAACUAUGCGCGUUUGUUAUCGGUGACCACGAGUUACCGAGGUGCSGAAGGGAAACCGUGAAACGUKCCGCCUKGGAA
rnacentral:rRNA from 1 species